CCGGGGGAGAAGGCCGAUGAAAGGGCCCUUUCUCUCCGCCCGGGGAGCCCGGGGCUGCCACAGCGGGGGCAGCCGAGCCCCCUCGCGCAGCGCCAACGGCUGCGCCAACGGCCAAAGGCCGCGCCGCUUCCUCCCCAGCACCCGCGCACCCUCCCGGCGAGGCAGCGGCACGGGAGCCCGCGGCACCUCCCGGCGCAGCCCAGCAGGGACUUCGGAAAGUUACUUCACAGGAAAUUCCUACCCCUGCGGGGGAAGGGAGGGCGGAAAGCAGCGCCAGCAGCAUCCCCCCCUUCCCGCCGAUACUCCCCCGCCUCACGCGCGCCCGGCCCUCUCUCUCCCCCUACACGCGUAAGGGCGGUGCGAAGCGUCCCGGCUGACUCGCACGGACCGCCAACAUCCCCCUCCCCCCCAAAAAAAACAGCAAAAAACCUGCGGGUAGCUCCUUCCCUCUCCCCCAAACUACCCCCUCGGACACAGCCUCGGGGCCCCACCCCAGGCAGACAAAGCGUUAGCGCGGAUAUCUAUAGGCGCCUCUAUAGGUACGUGACGGGGCAGCGCCUGGCCGCGCGGCACCUCCCACAGCCCGGCUGCCCGCUCCGCACCCGGGACACCCCACAGUCCCCCCAGCCCAGCCCGCUCGCCACUGCCACCGCUCUCCUGGCUGCGCUGCGUCCCUCCGCCCGUCCCGGCCCGUCCCGGCCGCCCACGGGAUGGGACAGCAGCCCCCGCGGCGGGGCGCUCCGCUGUCCGCGCUGCUCCGGACUCACCGCUCCCAUCCGAAGUGCAGAGACGCCAGCAGACGGUGGCCGAGAGCUGCCGGCCCCGCGCAGCCUCCGCCCCGCUGGCUGCCCCCAAACUCUCCGGGCGCCCGCGGCUCGCCGGCGGUGGCCAGGGAGGCGACGACGCCGCGCAUGCGCCGCGGGCGCCUCCCCGCCGCGGCCGCUAGGGGCCUUGCGGGGGGAGGGGGGCGGCUGUGGGAGGCUGCGCGCCGCCGGCCGGGGGGCUUCCUCUGCCGCCCCUCCGCGGGCCCUGCUGCCCCUCGCUCCCGCGGCUGCCUGCAGCUCCGUCCCUUUCCCGAGUUACUCUCGGUGUCCGCUGGCCCGGGGCCGGCGGGCGCCCUCCUCCGCGAGGAGGCGGUGGGAAGGUAAUUCCUGCUGUUGGGGGCGACGGCCGCCCCAGCCCUCCAACGGCCCCCGGGCCGGGCGGCGAUGUGGCCUCGCCUCUGAAACCGCCCAGCUGAAAGGCCCCCGGCGGCUGUGGCGUCUCCCCUCAUAA
rnacentral:lncRNA from 1 species